GAUGAAGAACGUAGCGAAAUGCGAUACGUAAUGUGAAUUGCAGAAUUCAGUGAAUCAUCGAAUCUUUGAACGCACAUUGCGCCCGUCAGUAUUCUGGCGGGCAUGCCUGUUCGAGCGUCAUUACGCCCCUCAAGUCCCCUGUGGACUUGGUGUUGGGGAUCGGCGAGGCUGGUUUUCCAGCACAGCCGUCCCUUAAAUUAAUUGGCGGUCUCGCCGUGGCCCUCCUCUGCGCAGUAGUAAAACACUCGCAACAGGAGCCCGGCGCGGUCCACUGCCGUAAAACCCCCCAACUUUUUAUAGUUGCCCUCGAAUCAGGUAGGACUACCCGCUGAACUUAAGCAUAUCAAUAAGCGGAGGA
rnacentral:misc_RNA from 1 species